CACGUAGGGUGCAAGCGUUGUCCGGAAUUAUUGGGCGUAAAGGGCUCGUAGGCGGUCCGUCACGUCGGGAGUGAAAACUCGGGGCUCAACCCCGAGCCUGCUUUCGAUACGGGCGGACUAGAGGUAGGUAGGGGAGAACGGAAUUCCUGGUGUAGCGGUGAAAUGCGCAGAUAUCAGGAGGAACACCAGCGGCGAAGGCGGCGCUCUGGGCCGGUACUGACGCUGAGGAGCGAAAGCGUGGGGAUCAAACAGG
rnacentral:rRNA from 1 species